AUUGAACGCUGGCGGCAGGCCUAACACAUGCAAGUCGAACGGUAACAGGAAGAAGCUUGCUUCUUUGCUGACGAGUGGCGGACGGGUGAGUAAUGUCCGGGAAACUGCCUGAUGGAGGGGGAUAACUACUGGAAACGGUAGCUAAUACCGCAUAACGUCGCAAGACCAAAGAGGGGGACCUUCGGGCCUCUUGCCAUCGGAUGUGCCCAGAUGGGAUUAGCUAGUAGGUGGGGUAACGGCUCACCUAGGCGACGAUCCCUAGCUGGUCUGAGAGGAUGACCAGCCACACUGGAACUGAGACACGGUCCAGACCCCUACGGGAGGCAGCAGUGGGGAAUAUUGCACAAUGGGCGCAAGCCUGAUGCAGCCAUGCCGCGUGUAUGAAGAAGGCCUUCGGGUUGUAAAGUACUUUCAGCGGGGAGGAAGGGAGUAAAGUUAAUACCUUUGCUCAUUGACGUUACCCGCAGAAGAAGCACCGGCUAACUCCGUG
rnacentral:rRNA from 1 species